CGAGCGAGAACCCGCAAGGGGGACAGCGGCAAACGGGGUAGGAAGGAUUGGUGACGUACCCUCCGGACGGGGAUAGCCAUGGGAAACUAUGGGUAAUACCCGAUGAUCUCCUGAGUUUGAAUACUUAGGUGCAAAGGUGUGAUUCCACCGGGGGAGCGGCCAAUCUGACAUCAGCUAGUUGGUAGGGUAAUGGCCUACCAAGGCUUUGACGUCUAGGGGGUGUGAGAGCAUGGCCCCCACCACUGGGACUGAGAUACUGCCCAGACACCUACGGGUGGCUGCAGUCGAGAAUCUUCGGCAAUGGGCGAAAGCCUGACCGAGCGACGCCGCGUGCGGGAUGAAGGCCUUCGGGUUGUAAACCGCUGUCAGAGGGGAUGAAGUUAUGGUGGGUUCUCCCUCCAUAUUGACAGAGCCUCAGAGGAAGCACGGGCUAAGUAUGUGCCAGCAGCCGCGGUAAUACAUACUGUGCGAACGUUAUUCGGAUUCACUGGGCUUAAAGGGUGCGUAGGCGGUUUGUUAAGUAGGGUGUGAAAGCCCCCAGUUCAACUGGGGAACUGCACUCUAAACUGGCAGGCUAGAGUGAGAUAGGGGUGUCCGGAACUGCUAGUGGAGCGGUGAAAUGUGUUGAUAUUAGCAGGAACGCCGGUGGCGAAAGCGGGACACUGGGUCUCAACUGACGCUGAGGCACGAAAGCCAGGGG
rnacentral:rRNA from 1 species